CCCUGAGGACCACCUGACACCCCAGAGGACCACCUGACACCUCCCAGAGGACCACCUGACACCUCCCUGAGGACCACCUCUGUUCCCAGGAGGACCACCUGACACCUCCCAGAGGACCACCUGACACCUCCCUGAGGACCACCUGACACCUCCCAGAGGACCACCUGACAACUCCAGCCCUGAGGACCACCUGACACCUCCCAGAGGACCACCUGACACCUCCCAGAGGACCACCUGACACCUCCUCCAGCCCUGAGGACCACCUGACACCUCCCAGAGGACCACCUGAGACCUCCCUGAGGACCACCUGACACCUCCUCCAGCCCUGAGGACCACCUGGCGGCUCCAAGAGGACCUUCUCCAGGGCUGGAGGGUGGAGGACCUUCUCCAGGGCUGGAGGGUGGAGGACCUUCUCCAGGGCGGAGGUGGAGGACCUUCUCCAGGGGUGGAUGUUGUCCUGCAUGGGGCCUUCAUGGUCUGAUGGGUUGCUGAAUGGUUGAGGAUCCUGAUGAGCCUGUUGGGUUUGAUGGGUCUGAUGGGUCUGAUGGGUCUGUUGGGUCUGAUGGUUCUGAUGGUUCUGAUGGGUUUUGU
ensembl:lncRNA